AUAUCAAUAAGCGGAGGAAAAGAAACUAACAAGGAUUCCCCUAGUAACUGCGAGUGAAGCGGGAAGAGCUCAAAUUUAAAAUCUGGCAGUUCCUCUGAGCCUGUCCGAGUUGUAGUCUAGAGAAGUCGUUCUUCCGUGCUGGACCGUGUAUAAGUCUCUUGGAACAUGGAGCGUCAUAGAGGGUGAGAAUCCCGUCUUUGACACGGACUACCAAGUGCUUUUGUGAUGCGCUCUCAAAGAGUCGAGUUGUUUGGGAAUGCAGCUCAAAAUGGGUGGUAAAUUCCAUCUAAAGCUAAAUAUAGGCGAGAGACCGAUAGCGAACAAGUACCGUGAGGGAAAGAUGAAAAGCACUUUGAAAGAGAGUUAAACAGUAC
rnacentral:rRNA from 1 species